UACGUAGGGUGCAAGCGUUAAUCGGAAUUACUGGGCGUAAAGCGUGCGCAGGCGGUUGUGCAAGACAGAUGUGAAAUCCCCGGGCUCAACCUGGGAAUUGCAUUUGUGACUGCACGGCUAGAGUGUGUCAGAGGGGGGUAGAAUUCCACGUGUAGCAGUGAAAUGCGUAGAGAUGUGGAGGAAUACCGAUGGCGAAGGCAGGUCCCUGGGUUGACACUGACGCUCAUGCACGAAAGCGUGGGGAGCAAACAGG
rnacentral:rRNA from 1 species